rnacentral:rRNA from 1 species
AACGAACGCUGGCGGCGUGCCUAACACAUGCAAGUCGAGCGGGAAAGUUCCCUUCGGGGAGCAAGUACAGCGGCGAACGGGUGAGUAACACGUAGGUAACCUACCCUGGAGUCCGGGAUAACCUGCCGAAAGGCGGGCUAAUACCAGAUAAGACCACGAGGGCUGCGGCCCUUGGGACAAAAGAUGGCCUCUGCUUGCAUGCUAUCACUCCGGGAUGGGCCUGCGCGCCAUUAGCAGUUGGUGGGGUAACGGCUCACCAAGGCUGAGAUGGCUAGCUGGUCUGAGAGGAUGGCCAGCCACACUGGGACUGGAGACACGGCCCAGACUCCUACGGGAGGCAGCAGUGGGGAAUAUUGCGCAAUGGGCGAAAGCC